UACGUAGGGUCCGAGCGUUGUCCGGAAUUACUGGGCGUAAAGAGCUUGUAGGCGGUUCGUCGCGUCGUCUGUGAAAACUUGGGGCUCAACCUUAAGCUUGCAGGCGAUACGGGCGGACUAGAGUACUUCAGGGGAGACUGGAAUUCCUGGUGUAGCGGUGAAAUGCGCAGAUAUCAGGAGGAACACCGGUGGCGAAGGCGGGUCUCUGGGAAGUAACUGACGCUGAGAAGCGAAAGCAUGGGUAGCAAACAGG
rnacentral:rRNA from 1 species